rnacentral:misc_RNA from 1 species
AACUGAUACUACCUGCGGGAACCUGCGGAAGGAUCAUUACCGAGUUUACAACUCCCAAACCCCCUGUGAACUUAUACCAUUACUGUUGCUUCGGCGGGUUAUUGCCCCGGGGAAAGGACCAGGUGCCGUCAAGGUUCCCUGCCCGCCCCCGGAAACAGGCGCCUGCCGGGGGACUCAAACUCUUCUGUAUUUUUUAUUUUACUGUUAUACUGUCUGAGUAAAAAACUAUAAAUGAAUCAA